rnacentral:rRNA from 1 species
UUGCACAAUGGGCGCAAGUUGAUGCAGCGACGCCGCGUGAGGGAUGACGGCCUUCGGUUUGUAAACCUUUUUUACCAGGGGCGAAGGAAUAGUUACGGUACCUGGAGAAGAAGCACCGGCCAACUACGUGCCAGCAGCCGCUGUAAUACGUAGGGUGCGAGCUUUGUCCGGUAUUACUGGGCGUAAAGAGCUCGUAGGCGGUUUGUCGCGUCGUUCGUUAAAACUUGGGGCUUAACUUCAAGCGUGCGGGCUAUACGGGCAGACUUGAGUACUACAGGGGAGACUGGAAUUCCUGGUGUAGCGGUGAAAUGCGCAGAUAUCAGGAGGAACACCGGUGGCGAAGGCGGGUCUCUUGGUAGUAACUGACGCUGAGGAGCGAAAGCGUGGGGUAGCGAACAGGAUUAGAUACCCUGGUAGUCCACGCCGUAAACGGUGGGUACUAGGUGUGGGUUCCUUUUUACGGGAUCCGUGCCGUAGCUAACGCAUUAAGUACCCCGCCUGGGGAGUACGGCCGCAAGGCAAAAACUAAAAGGAAUUAACGGGGGCCCGAACAAGCGGCGGAGCAUGUGUGAUUAAUUCGAUGCAACGCGAAGAACCUUACCUGGGUUUAACAUACAUAAGAAAGCCAUAGAGAUAUGGCCCCCCUUGUGGUUGGUGUACAGGUGGUGCAUGGCUGUCGUCAGCUCGUGUCGUGAGAUGUUGGGUUAAGUCCCGCAACGAGCGCAACCCUUGUCCUGUGUUGCCAGCACGUAGUGGUGGGAACUAGCAGGAAACUGCCGGGGUCAACUCGGAGGAAGGUGGGGAUGACGUCAAAUCAUCAUGCACCUUAUGUCCAGGGCUUAAAACAUGCUACAAUGGCCGGUAAAGAGGGCUGCGAUACCGUAAGGUGGAACAAAUCCCUUAAAGCCGGUCUCAGUUCGGAUCGGGGUCUGCAACUCGACCCCGUGAAGUCGAAGUCGCU